AACAAUGAUUUUGAUGUCUGAGUAUUUUAUUCUUAGGCCGAAAUCCUGUCACCUUAGGUCGAUCGGUACCUCAAACAUUUUCCCAAAGAUUGGUGAGCAAUCAUCAAGAGAUUGGAAAGGAUGUUCAGUUCCUAAACUUUGUCUAGGUCACACCCCGCAAGGGAAGAGUCUCCUGGGCCAUUAGCUCAGGUGGUUAGAGCGCACCCCUGAUAAGGGUGAGGUCCCUGGUUCAAGUCCAGGAUGGCCCAUUCGGUGUUGGGGGUUUAGCUCAGUUGGUAGAGCGCCUGCUUUGCAAGCAGGAUGUCAGGAGUUCGAGUCUCCUAACCUCCACUGACCGAACUCAAUCUCCACUGUCCGGUAACUCGGAGGAUGAACUCGAUGGCGUGUGAUUUAGAUGUGUCCACUAGAUAGGACCCUAGCUUCCUGUCAUUCCGAACAAGUGAUUAUUACUUGAUUGGUUGAUAUGAUGCUGGGUUCAGAUUAAUCGAAAGAUUAAUUUGAUCUCUAGUAGAACCUUGACAACUGCAUAAGUAAGUCUGGAAAAACGAAGCAUCUUACAGAUGCAUUGUUUUAAGUCUGAAUUCUCGAAAGAGAGUUUAGAUUUAGAAUGAUGAAAAUUCUUUUAAGCAAGAGCCGAGACUCUUAGAUGUUCUUUUUAUCGUGUCGAGCGAUAAAGAGUUUGAUUUUGUUUUUAUGAGCAGCGAAAGUUGCUCAUAAAACCAGAAGAAUCUGCUUUCAACCGCAGUAAGCGUUUAAGAGGUUAAUUGGUCAAGCUACAAAGGGCUCACGGCGGAUACCUUGGCACACAGAGGCGAUGAAGGACGUGGUUACCUGCGAUAAGUCUCGGGGAGCUGGAAGCACGCUUUGAUCCGGGA
rnacentral:misc_RNA from 1 species